CGCUGAUCACAUGACGUCUGUCGCUUCCCGUUUUCUUGCAGCAGGUUCAGGUUGGGUGAAGAUUGUGCUGUGAUCAUCUGUGAGUUUUUCAUCCAUACACGCAGCGCAUUGAGAAAUGUUGGCCCUCUUUAACCGGCUGCUCGACUGGAUCCGCUCGCUCUUCUGGAAGGAAGAGAUGGAGCUCACUUUGGUAGGACUGCAGUACUCUGGUAAAACAACUUUUGUCAACGUAAUUGCUUCUGGCCAGUUUAAUGAAGAUAUGAUCCCUACAGUCGGCUUCAACAUGAGGAAAGUGAGCAAAGGCAAUGUAACAAUUAAAAUUUGGGAUAUAGGUGGGCAGCCGCGCUUCAGGAGCAUGUGGGAGAGAUAUUGUCGUGGCGUCAAUGCCAUAGUGUAUAUGGUGGAUGCUGCAGACCGCGAAAAGGUCGAAGCCUCAAGAAAUGAGCUACACAACCUGCUAGAUAAACCACAGCUGCAAGGCAUUCCUGUACUCGUCCUUGGCAACAAAAGAGACCUUCCCAAUGCACUCGAUGAGAAGCAACUCAUUGAAAAGAUGAACCUGGCAGCCAUUCAAGACCGAGAGAUCUGCUGCUACUCAAUUUCAUGCAAAGAGAAAGACAAUAUUGAUAUCACAUUACAAUGGCUCAUCCAACAUUCAAAGUCCCGGAGGAGUUGAGAAAGUCCUCACCAAAUCAGUCCAGCUUUGCCUCUGUUUUUCGCUCAGCCCUGUGGUUCGGUCUCUGUCUCGCUUUUUCUCACUGUUACACAAAGACUCAGUAAAGCAUCAUCGUCACAGCAGUGUGCUUCAGGCAUCCCCUCACGCAUUGCUACAGAUUACCUUUUUUUUGCUAGAUGGACUUUUAUUUACCCUCACAUGUCCAAGUGGAGAGAGGCUUGUGAACUGGUGAAGAAAUUCAGCAUUUGGUAUUUGAAAGUUAAGUGCCUUCUGGAAAUACAUGAAUGAAUUAAAUCCAAUUUCCCCCAAUUAUAUGGAUGGUUCAUUAUCCAACCACACACACACAAUUGGCCAUAGAUGGCGUUAUUACAGCAACAGUAAACACUGCUAAUGCAAUAUGUGUGAUUGAUGAGAAUAGAUUUGCACAUAAUCGCUUCUUGGCAAACUGUACAGAGAUGAAUCUGCGCUUUUCAGUGGUUAUGUACUGUAUAUACAGUAGACAUCUGUUAUGCCUGCGUGGUGUUUAAACAUCUUCAGUCCUUCAUAAUUCACCUUAGCAGAAGCAGAUUGAUGUGUUGGUCUUGCGAUACAGCAUCAGUACUGUACAUAAUUUUUUUUAUUUAUGGCUUUAAUGUCGGCCAUGGUCAUGAAUUAAGGCCACGCUGUGAAAGAGCAGUUUAAAUCGAUUGCACAAAUGUAAAUAUGCUUUGGUUAUCAAAAUGUUUGAUUAAAUGAGUAUUAAACAGUGAAGUGAUUUUAUUAUUUUAUUUUAAAAAAUGGGUGGAGAAUUUUUCUGAUGCUAAGAUCAAAAUGGCUUCAUUUGUUUCUGCGUGCUGAUCGUUUGUGGUACUGAAAUAAGUAGUGGUCGACCAAUGUUUUUUUUUUUUUAAUGGCCGAUGCCAAUACUAAGAAAGCAAUGUGAUAUGAGACUAUGAAAAUUGGUGAAACUAAAUAAACAUUUAUUCGGCAGAAUAUGUAUAAACAUACCAUUUUAAGUAUUAAGUAAGUAAUUUUGAAAAAUAUUUUUAAAACAUUUGUUCUGUGGAUCUGAGAAAUUUUUGAAUUAGACUUUGCUGCACACCGAAGUGUUGUUGUGUGUAAAACAAUGUAACGUCACAUUAAAAAGGGAUUGGUCUGUCAGACAUUGGCUUUACAUCUGAUUGUCUUUGUAUACGGAACAAAUAACUUAAAGGGGACAUAUCAUGAAAAUCUGACUUUUUAAUGUUUAAGUGCUAUAAUUGGGUCCCCAGUACUUGUAUCAACCUAGAAAAUGUGAAAAAGAUCAAUCCAGUAACUUAGUUUUGGUAAACUAUUUUCUGCAAGCAUGUGAAAAAAUCAUUGAAAUUUGGCUCCCCUUGUGAUGUCAGAAAGGGAUAAUACCACCCCUUAAUCUGCCAACCACGGCACUGCCAUUUAGUGCAGAGAUCAACUCAUUUGCAUUUAUAAGGACACACCCAAAAACAGCACACCUACAAAUUUGCAAUUUUAACAUGUUAUAAUAAAUUAUCUAUAUGAUAUUUUGAGCUAGAACUUCACAUACGUACUCUGGGGACACCAGAGAUUUAUUUUACAUCUUAAAAAAGUCUUGUGAAAUGUCCCCUUUAAGGAGCAGGAAAGAUUUAUCGGCAAGUUGAAAAGAUUUAUCGGCCUAUGCCGAUAAUUAAAAAAUUCCAAAUAUUGGCCGAUAUAUCAGCCACUAUCAUAUAUCUGAUAUAUAUCAUAUAUGAUAUUAUCAUCUUUAAAACUCUGCAUUGAUGCUUCUUUCAGACUUUAUAAUCAUUGCCUUAUACUAGCAUUGAAAAUGUACUACAAAGAUGGUUUGUACAAUCUGUCCAGGAUAAAGUUACAGACAGUUAUAUUAUAUUACACUAUACAUCAGAGGUCUCCAACAUGGUGCCCGCACAGAGUCUGUGAGUUAUUAAUAGCCUCAAUUUUUAUAUUUAUUUACUACAUAUUUUUUAUAUUAGCUUGGCUUCUUUUAACAGUUUAAACAAUGGUUAAACAUACCAACAAUAAAAUAAAAUAAAAUCAACAAGUAAAACAAAAAGGUUUUGAGUAGAUUAUAUCAAAAAAGCCUUUCAGAUUGUUUUAUCCAUUGUGGUAGCCCUUGCUCACAAAAAGGUUGGAGACCCCUACAUCAUUUAUUUUUUUCAGCUCAUAUUUUUUUAAAUGAUCGACGUUUUACUUAAAAACUACUUGUGUUCAACUAUGAUGAUUGAAUUUAUUUUGGCCAAAAUAGCUGUAUUAAUCAUCUGCCAUAUUGUUGGAGUGAAGCUUUUAACAAAGUUUUUUUUUAAUGCUAUUUGUGUUUCACAAAAUGUGUGCUAAUGCUGGUAAUUAUUUUUCUUUAUUAUAACAUAUUUUUUUUAUAAAGGUUCAUAAUGGUUGCCAAGUUUUUUAUAUGAUGAUUGCAUAUUGUUUAUUUUGUUUAUUAUUAUUAAGGGCUCUCCCUAAAAUGUGAUUGUAGUUUUUUUCCUUUAUAUUUCUUAUGAGAGGUCAAAUAAUAUGCAGCAUACAAGAGUUCCCAAAAAUCCAAAUAUAAUUGUUCAUUAUUAAUGGGCAAAUUAUUAACAAACACAGAUGGUGUAAUGUGAUUUGUCUCUGCUUUGAUUGUACCAACACAUCACAUCCCAUAAUUCUCUGUGUUUCUUCAUUGAGAGCUGAUGUGUGUUGUCUAUGGGGGAAAGCUUUUUCCAUGUUUAUCUCUGUGCAGCCUUAAACACCAUACAUGACACAUGAAAAAUCUAUUUAUCAGUUUGCUGACUUUGUAAAUAUGAAAAAGUACAAAAACAAGAUUUGUUUUGCUGAGUGCUCUUAUGUGUGUUUUGCAUUUGGUUUAUUGUGAUUGCUCAAUAAAUUGUUUUUAGAGAGA